CAGUCGCCACGGUAAUACGGAGGGGGCUAGCGUUGUUCGGAAUUACUGGGCGUAAAGCGCACGUAGGCGGCUUGGUAAGUUAGAGGUGAAAGCCCGGAGCUCGACUCCGGAAUUGCCUUUAAGACUGCCGAGCUAGUAGGUGAGAGAGGUAAGUGGAAUUCCGAGCGUAGAGGUGAAAUUCGUAGAUAUUCGGAAGAACACCGGUGGCGAAGGCGGCUUACUGGCUCAUUCUAGACGCUGAGGUGCGAAAGCGUGGGGAGCAAACAGGAUUAGAUACCCGCGUAGUCCCUGUCUCUUAUAC
rnacentral:rRNA from 1 species